rnacentral:rRNA from 1 species
AGCGAACGCUGGCGGCAGGCCUAACACAUGCAAGUCGAACGAACUCUUCGGAGUUAGUGGCGGACGGGUGAGUAACACGUGGGAACGUGCCUUUUGGUUCGGAAUAACUCAGGGAAACUUGUGCUAAUACCGAAUGUGCCCUUCGGGGGAAAGAUUUAUCGCCAUUAGAGCGGCCCGCGUCUGAUUAGCUAGUUGGUGAGGUAACGGCUCACCAAGGCGACGAUCAGUAGCUGGCCUGAGAGGAUGACCAGCCACACUGGGACUGAGACACGGCCCAGACUCCUACGGGAGGCAGCAGUGGGGAAUCUUGCGCAAUGGGCGAAAGCCUGACGCAGCCAUGCCGCGUGAAUGAUGAAGGUCUUAGGAUUGUAAAAUUCUUUCACCGGGGACGAUAAUGACGGUACCCGGAGAAGAAGCCCCGGCUAACUUCGUG